AGAGUUUGAUCCUGGCUCAGGAUGAACGCUGGCGGCGUGCCUAAUACAUGCAAGUCGAACGAGGUGCUUUUGUAGCAAUACGAGAGUAUCCUAGUGGCGAACGGGUGAGUAACGCGUUGGUGACCUGCCCCAAAGUGUGGAAUAACAGUUCGAAAGGAUUGCUAAUACCGCAUGUGGUUAUUGGAUUUAGAAACUGAUAACUAAAGGAGUAAUCCGCUUUGGGAGGGACCUGCGUCCCAUCAGCUAGUUGGUGAGGUAACGGCUCACCAAGGCGACGACGGGUUGGGGACCUGAGAGGGUGACCCCCCACAAUGGAACUGAAACACGGUCCAUACACCUACGGGUGGCAGCAGUAGGGAAUAUUGGGCAAUGGGCGAAAGCCUGACCCAGCAACGCCGCGUGUGUGAUGAAGGCCUUCGGGUCGUAAAGCACUUUUCUGGGAGAUGAGAAAGGACAGUAUCCCAGGAAUAAGUCUCGGCUAACUACGUGCCAGCAGCCGCGGUAAAACGUAGGAGGCGAGCGUUAUCCGGAUUCACUGGGCGUAAAGCGCGUGCAGGUGGCGCGGUAAGUUGGGCGUGAAAUCUCCCGGCUCAACUGGGAGAGGUCGUCCAAUACUACCGUGCUUGAGAGCAGAAGAGGAAGAUGGAAUUCCCGGUGUAGUGGUGAAAUGCGUAGAUAUCGGGAGGAACACCAGUGGCGAAGGCGAUCUUCUGGUCUGUUUCUGACACUCAGACGCGACAGCUAGGGUAGUAAACGGGAUUAGAGACCCCGGUAAUCCUAGCCGUAAACGAUGUGAACUUGGCGUUGGUGGGUUAAACUCCAUCAGUGCCGAAGCAAACGCGAUAAGUUCACCGCCUGGGGACUACGGCCGCAAGGUUAAAACUCAAAGGAAUUGACGGGGGCCCGCACAAGCAGCGGAGCGUGUGGUUUAAUUCGAUACACGAAGAACCUUACCCAGGCUUGACAUACAGGUGGUAGGGAUCCGAAAGGUGACCGACCCGCAAGGGAGCCUGAACAGGUGUUGCAUGGCUGUCGUCAGCUCGUGUCGUGAGAUGUUCGGUUAAGUCCGCUAACGAGCGCAACCCUCGUCGCGUGUUAUACGUGUCACGCGAGACCGCCGGUAUUAAGCCGGAGGAAGGUGAGGAUGACGUCAAGUCAGCAUGGCCUUUAUGCCCGGGGCUACACACACGCUACAAUGGGCAGUACAAUGGGUUGCUAAGCCGCGAGGUGGAGCCAAUCCCCCAAAACUGUCCUCAGUUCAGAUUGCAGGCUGCAACUCGCCUGCAUGAAGCUGGAGUUGCUAGUAAACGCGCGUCAGCUAUAGUGCGUUGAAUACGUUCUCGGGCCUUGUACACACCGCCCGUCACGUCAUGGGAGCUGGUAACACCUGAAGCCGGUAGCCUAACCGCAAGGAGGGCGCCGUCGAAGGUGGGGCUGGUGACUGGGACGAAGUCGUAACAAGGUA
rnacentral:rRNA from 1 species